GAGACAGGGUCUCAUUCUGUCGCCCAGGCUGGAGUGUAGUGGUGAGACGAUAACUUUUUUUUCGUAAAGAAAGCUCAGCCUUAGGAGCCAGAGAGCCUGCUUCUGAAUCCAGGCUCUGCCUCCAUGUAGCCAAGUAGUCCUGGGCAAGUUAUCUGAACCUCAGUUUCCCUUUCUGUUAAAUGGGAAGGACUCUCUGGAAGGAUGAGAGGUGGUGCAUGAAAGACUCCAGGUGCACUAGGGCAGUGAAGAAAUGCCAGCAGUCUCCAUUUCAAACCUCCCCUGGCUUUCUCCCCAUACACAGACACUCAGGCCCUUGUGGCCUGGCCAACUCAUGCCCGUCAGCAUGCCGAACUCAGCUUGGAGGGGCCGCUUCUUCAGCAAGCUUCCCCUCGCAAGUGCAGCGAGGCCAUUGUGUGUGCAUCUGUGAGCUUGAUAACCAUGCAAGGCGGGCAGGGAGAAAGGGCUCGGGACCCAGCUUAUGGGCUUGGAGGAGGUGGCAGGAGGAACAUUCCAGGCAAAGAAUG